AUUCAGUGGUCCUGAUGUGAUAACUCAGGAUACAGAAACCAGCAUGAAAGGCCACUAUUAGGUGAGCUGCUUUGCUCCCUGGGAUACUGUCCCAUGAUGCUCUUCUUCAGCUCCUGUUUGAGGCUAAAGAUGUGAGCUGCUGUUCCAGUUGCCUGCUGCCAGCUACCUCUGUUUCCCCAUCAUGCACUAGCAACUCUCUGGAACUUCAAGGCCA
rnacentral:lncRNA from 1 species